rnacentral:rRNA from 1 species
UUCUCGUAGUUGGAUUACGAAGUGGUGUUUAAAUGUCAUUUUGGUUUGUUUGUCUUUCGGGGCAUUCAGGUCAACUUGGCUUUUACUCACUGUUGUCAUUGUCUUUGCCCAAGGUAUAUGCCUUGUGUGCAUGGCAUUGACCUUCUAUUUUAUGGUAAUGUUGUAUCUUUCGGGGUACAUUCAUUCCAUAUAGUUUACUUUGAAAAGAUUAGGGUGUUUAAAGCAGGCGAAAAGGCUUCGGAAUAUAUUAGCAUGGGAUAAUAGAAUACGAUCUAGGUCGUAAUUUGUUGGUUUCUACGGCUUAGGUAAUGAUUGACAGGGAUAGUUGGGGUCGCUCGUAUUGAGUUGUCAGAGGUGAAAUUCUAGGAUUAACUCAAGACGAACUAAUGCGAAAGCAUUCGGCAAGGAUGUUUUCAUUAAUCAAGAACGAAAGUUGGGGGAUCGAAGAUGAUCAGAUACCGUCGUAGUCUCAACUGUAAACUAUGUCGACCGAGGAUCCGGUAGCGUUACAUGGAUGACCUUCCGGGCACUCUGUGAGAAAUCAUAAGUAUUUGGAUUUCGGGGGGAGUAUGGUCGCAAGGCUGAAACUUAAAGGGAUUGACGGAAGGGCACCACCAGGAGUGGAAUCUGCGGCUUAAUUUGACCCAACACGGGAAAACUUACCAGGUCCGGACACAGUGAGGAUUGACAGAUUGAGAGCUCUUUCUUGAUUUUGUGGGUGGUGGUGCAUGGCCGUUUUUAGUUGGUGGAGUGAUUUGUCUGGUUAAUUCCGUUAACGAACGAGACCUUAACCUAUUAAAUAGCUGCGCGAACCCAGGUUCUUUAACCAUUCUCUCCUUCGGGGGGGCGUGGUAUCAUUAUUUUGCUUUUCACUUUCGGGUGGGAGGUAGGGUAGUGAUAGGGCCUGAGAUGAGUUGGUGAUUUGGCUUCUUAGAGGGACUACUUGCAUCCUUAGCAAGGGGAGGUCUGAGGCAAAAACAGGUCUGUGAUGCCCUUCGAUGUUCUGGGCUGCACGCGCGUUACACUGGCGCAUGCAAAGAGUUUAAAAUUCCUGUCCCGAUGGGGUUGGGAAAUCUUUUUAAAGUGCGUCGUGAUGGGGAUAGAGCAUUGAAAUUAUUGCUCUUGAACGAGGAAUUCCUAGUAAUUGCAGGUCAUCAACCUCCAAUGAUUACGUCCCUGCCCUUUGUACACACCGCCCGUCGCUCCUACCGAUGGUUGAACCGAUGAGGACUCGGGAUGAUCUUAUUAGAUCGGUCGGUCGAAAGAUCGAUAGACUAUUAGGUCAGAACUUGUUCAAAUCUUUUUAACUAGAGGAAGGAGAAGUCGUAACAAGGUUUCCGUAGGUGAUCCUGCGGAAG